AAGUCGUAACAAGGUUUCCGUAGCCUGCGGAAGGAUCAUUAACACGUAUCCAACGUUAAACCCCCCUGUGAACUUUCAUCGUGCUCUUGCAUCCUAGGAACAGCAAUCCUGGUGGACCUCUGGCCAAAAGAUGUGAUUGAGCGCUCGAGGCAAGUGGCCUAGCUUCCCCAAGCGAUCAGUGUUCUGAAAGUGGUCAUUGAUUGUGCAAGGAUAACGCUUCACGGAUGCUGUAGGCCGAUCACCGGCCGGCGUCGUGGUCACCGGGCUCACGCCCCUUCGAAACAACCAGUAGUUAGCGUAUGUCUCCUCGACACAGCAAGUGCGCCGUCGUAGGAGAAAAACGAACAACUGUUAACAAUGGAUAUCUUGGUUCUC
rnacentral:misc_RNA from 1 species